AAACAUCUCUACCGACAAAUCCUUCUUCGUAUUGACUCAGCGUAGUGUGUGUUUUAUCAAUAUUUAUUGAUCAUAAAGCUAAAGAAAACCUGUUUACAAUUCCUCUUAAGUAUAGGAAACUUUUUUUUUUACCAAAUAGUAUAAUUUUUAUUUGGAUAGUGUAAGUGAAAUAAUUUAUUACUGAAUAUUUUGAUCUUUAUGUAGUUAUGUUAGCUUUAAAUUUUUAUAUAUGUGCAAGCUAGACAAAUGGCUUUUUUUAAAAAUUUAAGUGAAAUGUAAAAGUAUACUCUUUUUUUGCAGCUAAUUAAAUAUAAGUUCGUAGUUAUCUUUACUCCAAAAAAUGCUUAAAUUCAAAGCUGCUAAACUUGAUCAUGAAUAAAUUAUGGAGACAGUUCAUUUAAUACGUUCAUAUCUGUGAGAUUCAUGGUAAUAGAAUUUUUAAAAGGUUUAAGUUUUAAACUGGGUCAUUUAAAAGUUGUUAUUAUACACCAAAAGAUUUGAAACUUUAAAGCAUUUUAAAGAAAAUUUCUGAAGGAAGACUAUCAGAUUUUCUUGAGAAUCUUAUUAAUCUAUGAUAAAUGAUGUUGUAAGAUCUUAAACUGGUCAAGAUUAUUCUUUGUUGAGGUAUGUCUUGUGCUAUUUUUAAAUUUAGUUUAUUAUGAAUGUUUCCAAGCAGACACAAUAGUGGAGCAUGAGUGCCCAGGCUCCUCUGUCUCACCUCAGCUCCUGCUUGUUUGAUCAUUUUGCCACUCUCAGAGCUUUUGAUUUUUUUAUUAUUUUAAAGUUCCUUUAGAAGGUAUGUGUAUAAGUGUCUUUUUGCCUGUAUAUUUGGGUAUCCUGUCUGUGCUUGGUGCCCAUGGAGGCUAGAAGAGGGCAUCAAUUCCCCUAGAUCUGGAGUUAACAGGUGUGAGCUAAUAACAGCGUAAGCAGCCUUGAGUUCCCCUACAUCUCAGGCAAGCCUCAGUGUUACUCUGCCUCAUCUGCUGGAGUAUCUGGGAUUUUAGACCUGUAACACCAGGCCUGGUUAAAGUUGUCAACUUUUUCCAGAAUGGUUUGAAAAACUGCCUUUUUAUUAAUGAGGACAGAAAACAGGCUGAGAUUGCCGUAAAUAGAUAAUUUCAGUUGUUUCUUGUCUCUCAUUUGUUUUCUAUUUGAGACAGGCUCUUGCUGUAUAGCGUGAACUGGCCUGAAGCUCCUCCCUCAGCUCCCCUAGUUAUUUCUUGUUCUAUUUAAAUAUAUUUCCAAGAACCAAAGACAUGACUUUGAUCAGAUUUGUUAUGUGUCUUAGUUAGGAUUUCUAUUGCUGUGACAAAAUACUGUAACCAAAAAUGCCUGGGGGAGGCAACGGUUUAACUUCUCUUAUAAAUCUAGGGUCACUCUGUGUUAAUGAGGAAAGUCAGGGCAGGAAUUUGAACAGGAACUAAAGGAGCAAUGUUUGUUUCUUGUGCCUUGCUCUGCCAUCUUUGUCAUACAAAUCAAGACCACCUGCCCAGGGUUGGCACUACUCACAAUGACCUGGGACCUUUCACAUCAAUAAUUAGUGAAUAAAAUCCUUGACAGACUUGUCAGUAGGCCACAGAGGCAUGUUCUCAGUGGAGAGUCUGUCUUGCCAAAUAACUAACUUAUGUCAAGUUAACAACUAGCCAGGAAAUUAUUUUACCAUCUAUUUUCAUAUUAAGUUCUAAGCAAGCUAAACAUAUAAGCUCUAGAUUUUGCUUAUCUUUGUGAAUCUCACAAGAAAUUAUCUUGGUUCCAUUCCCAUGGGCACUUACCAGUUGAGGGAGACUUUAAUUACCUUACCUAGCACACCUCAGUGAUAUUAUCAAAGUGGGAAGUUUUAAAAUACAUCAUAUAUUCAAGGCCAGCCUGGUCUAUAGAGCAAGUUUCAGGACAGCCAGGGCUACACAGAGAAACCCUGUCUAGAUAAAUAGGAUUUUUCAAGG
rnacentral:lncRNA from 1 species